GAUAUAAAUUGCCAGAGGGAUGCCAUUGAGAAAACUGGAAUAGUGGAUGAUGGAAGAUGCUUUAAAGUUAAAUUUGCAGGAAUGUGCCUGUCCUGAUGUUCCUCGCGAGGAAGCCUGUGCUGAAUGUUUCCCAAAGAGCAAGGCAAAUAUUGGGGGAUGGAAGGGUUUAAGAGAUGAUUUGCUGUUUCUCCUUGAAGAGGAGCUAUGUGAUGUUAAUUUAUGUUCUCUGCAUGCAAUGUAUAACAUUUGAGUUUGAGUGUGCACCCACUGUAGUAUGGCACAGUCAACAUUGUUUUAUUUUAAAGAAAUCUGUUUUCUUGAAGUUUAAUACUGUAAUAAUAUUCUUUUCUUUCGUGUUGCCUGAUCACUUCUGAGAUAUAUAUUUAUUUGUCAUAUUUCUUAGAUUAAUAGAGCAUUCAGCAUAAUGCCUGAGUGCUUCUGGGAUAUAUAGCAAACUUAUAGUUUUUCGUUCAUAGUUAAUAUAGGGACGUGUUGUCUGUCCUUUCUGGUUCACCCAGGCUGAAGUCCUAGCAUUCAGAGUAAUGCCUGAGUGCUUCUGGGAUAUAUGACAUACUUAGUUUUUCAUUCAUGGUUAAUAUAGGAAAGUGUUGUCUAUCCUUACUGGUUUCCAGGCUGAAGUGCUGGCAUUAAGCAUAAUGCCUGAGUACUUCUGGGAUAUAUAGCAUACUUACCUUUUUUUCAUGGUUAAUAUAGGGAAGUGUUGUCUAUCCUUUCUGGUUCACCCAGGCUGAAGUCCUGGCAUUCAGAGUAAUGCCUGAGUGCCUGUGAGAUAUAUAAGAUACUUAGCUUUUCAUUCAGGGUCAGUGUAGGGAAGUGUUGUCUAUCCUUUCUGGUUCACCCAAGCUGAAGUCGUGGCAUUCUAUGUAAUGCCUGAGUGCUUCUGGGAUAUAGAACAUACUUAGUUUUCAUUCAUGGUUAAUAUAGGGUAGUGUUGUCUAUCCUUUCUGGUUCACCCAGGCUGAAGUCC